rnacentral:rRNA from 1 species
UACGAAGGGGGCUAGCGUUGCUCGGAAUCACUGGGCGUAAAGCGCACGUAGGCGGCUUUUUAAGUCAGAGGUGAAAUCCCAAGGCUCAACCUUGGAACUGCCUUUGAUACUGGGGAUCUUGAGUCCGGGAGAGGUGAGUGGAACUGCGAGUGUAGAGGUGAAAUUCGUAGAUAUUCGCAAGAACACCAGUGGCGAAGGCGGCUCACUGGCCCGGUACUGACGCUGAGGUGCGAAAGCGUGGGGAGCAAACAGG